AUCAGGUAAAAUUCUGAACUGCUUCAGUGCCAGACUGACCGGACCACCAACACCAGGUCAGUUCUCCUGGCUGGCCUGGCUUCAAGGUCUCUCUCUUUUUAAAGAGGCAAAAAGGCAACAUUCACGUCAUCACAGUGCGGAGCCUGCGGGGCAGGAACCCCCACACACUCCUGGUCAUGCUUCUGCACGGGGUCAUGGGGAGGAGCGAUGCUGCCUCCGAAACUGUCCGGGGUGGCUGCCCGCGGGGACAACUCCGGCUGUGACCAGUGUGUUAAGCCAGGACAAAGUUAUCACAAAUUCAAACAGGGAAGCAUUUAGUUAUGCUCAGCUUUGGGUAAGGUGCUGCGGGAAUACAGAGAAGUCUAUAAAAGGUACUUUCCCAACCAAAGACUAUCCCGAUAUGAGGAAACUGUCUUAAUGAUACAAUGUAGAGGCCAAACAUCAAACAAAACAGUGUGUACUUUCACGGUGACUGUAUGAAAAUAAAAUAUAGUCAAGGGCCAACAGAUAUCAAAGGUUUUGAAAAGGUUCGUGUCAUUUGUGUAUAAAUUGCACAUCUGGACUUCAUCUUAAAUAUCACACUCGUGCCCAAAGGUCUAAGUGCAAGGAUGGUCGUUGUGAUAUCAUUUAGAACAGCAAACAAACAAGGCAAACAAAAUGCUCAAGAACAGGGCAUCUGUUAAAUAAAACGGCAUUUGCACAAAGGAACACUAUGAGGUCAUUAAAAAUAAUGACAUGGUUGUAUAUUUCAUGUGGAGGAUACUUACUAAGACAGUUUAAAUGAAAAAGCAUGACUUUAGUGGUUCCACUUUUCUUUACUCACAUAUCACAACAUACAUACAUGCACGUGUGAAAGACAGUCUAGAGGAGACAGUCAAGAAGGCGACACCUAAGUGUUACAAGUGGCUACCCCUGAAUGGAUUGUAUCACGUAAGAUUUUUUUCAACAGUUUUAUUGAGAUAUAAUUCACAGACCAUAUAAUACACCCAAUUAAAGCAUGCAGUUCAAUCGCCACAAUCUAAUUUUAGAGCAUUUUCAGCAUUCCAGAAAGAAACCUCGUACAGUUAAUUCCCCGUCCCUCCCCUAAUCCUAGGCAGCCACCAGCUGGCUCCCUGCCCCCACAGACUUGCCUGCUCUGGACAUUCCGUAAAAAUAGAACCAUAUACCACACGGUCUCCAACGACCGGCUUCUUCCGCUUAGUGUAACAGUUCUAAGGCUCAUUCAUGUUGUGGCCGUACGUCCUUUCUCUUUACUACUGAGUAACAUUCCACGGGACAGAUACACCACAUCUAAUUUAUCUUGUCACCAGUGUUUGAACAUUUCUACUUUUUGGUUAUUAUAACAACGUUACUAUGACCUUAGGAGCUUUUCUGCAGACAUGUGUUUUCAUUUCUUUUGGGUGAGCACAUGAUUUUAUUUAUUCUUAUUUAUUAUCUUCUAGUUCUUCUACAACAAACAGUUAUUACUUCCACUUCAAAAGGCUUAGAACUGGAGCACUGCAGAAGUCGGUCAACACCAGCUGCGUGAGCUCCGUGGCCCCGAAACGAAAUCAAGACUCUCCACGUGCGUGGUUCCGCUUAUGUAGAUUUUUGAGAAUUUUUAGUCAAUAUUGAUGUUUAAUUUUUUUAAAAAUACUUUUAAUGGGACGUGCACUCUAAAAGCCACGUCUUUGCCAGUGUGCCACAUUCAUGGCCAUCCCCCGAGGUCUCACACCAGCCACUUUCAGCUUCCUGUCCAGCCCCUGAACAACCCAGGGCCGCAGCCCUCCUGUGCUCAGGGAAGAGGAAGGUCACAUGUUUUCGAGUCCCCUCUUCAAUAACACACCAGUAAGUAGUACAGUGGAGCCCAAGUAAAUCCAGUAACAGACCAAGGAGGUCUGGCCUAGAGGCCUGCUGACCACAUCUGACCCAUGGAUGGGUUUGACUUGUACAGUGUUCAACUUUGAACAAGCCAACAUUUAACCAUCAGAAGCCUGCACAUAAAAACUAACUUC